GCCGGGCAUGGUGGCGCACGUUUGUAAUCCCAGUGGCUCAGGAGGCUGAGGAAGGAGGAUUGUGAGUUCAAAGCCAGCCUCAGCAAUGGUGAAGUGCUUAGCAACUCGUGAGACCCUGUCUCUA
rnacentral:sRNA from 1 species